rnacentral:sRNA from 1 species
CAGCCCUAGACUCUGAACUGCCCUUGCAGCAGUGCACAUUUCCUCACUCUGCCCCAUCAAUGUGCCUCAUCCAUGAAAUAGAGAAGACAUCUCUACAGGUG